rnacentral:rRNA from 1 species
AUUGAACGCUGGCGGCAGGCCUAACACAUGCAAGUCGAGCGGAUGAAGGGAGCUUGCUCCUGGAUUCAGCGGCGGACGGGUGAGUAAUGCCUAGGAAUCUGCCUGGUAGUGGGGGAUAACGUCCGGAAACGGGCGCUAAUACCGCAUACGUCCUGAGGGAGAAAGUGGGGGAUCUUCGGACCUCACGCUAUCAGAUGAGCCUAGGUCGGAUUAGCUAGUUGGUGGGGUAAAGGCCUACCAAGGCGACGAUCCGUAACUGGUCUGAGAGGAUGAUCAGUCACACUGGAACUGAGACACGGUCCAGACUCCUACGGGAGGCAGCAGUGGGGAAUAUUGGACAAUGGGCGAAAGCCUGAUCCAGCCAUGCCGCGUGUGUGAAGAAGGUCUUCUGAUUGUAAAGCACCUUAAGUUGGGAGGAAGGGUAGUAAGUUAAUACCUUGCUGUUUUGACGUUACCAACAGAAUAAGCACCGGCUAACUUCGUG